rnacentral:rRNA from 1 species
GAUGAACGCUGGCGGCGUGCCUAACACAUGCAAGUCGAGCGAACGGACGAGAAGCUUGCUUCUCUGAUGUUAGCGGCGGACGGGAGAGUAACACGUGGAUAACCUACUUAUAAGACUGGGAUAACCUCGGGAAACCGUAGCAAAUACCGGAUAAUAUUCUGAACCGCAUGGUUCAAAAGUGAAAGACGGUCUUGCUGUCACUUAUAGAUGGAUCUGCGCUGCAUUAGCUAGUUGGUAAGGUAACGGCUUACCAAGGCGACGAUGCAUAGCCGAACUGAGAGGGUGAUCGGCGACACUAGAACUGGGACACGGUCCAGACUCCUACGGGAGGCAGCAGUAGGGAAUCUUACGCAAUGGGCGAAAGCCUGACGGAGCAACGCCGCGUGAGUGAUGAAGGUCUUCGGAUCGUAAAGCUCUGUUAUUAGGGAAGAACAUAUGUGUAAGUAACUGUGCACAUCUUGACGGUACCUAAUCAGAAAGCCACGGCUAACUACGUG